UACAGAGGGUGCAAGCGUUGUUCGGAUUCAUUGGGCGUAAAGGGUGCGUAGGCGGCGCGGUAAGUCGGGUGUGAAAUCUCGGAGCUUAACUCCGAAACUGCAUUCGAUACUGCCGUGCUUGAGGACUGGAGAGGAGACUGGAAUUUACGGUGUAGCGGUGAAAUGCGUAGAUAUCGUAAGGAAGACCAGUGGCGAAGGCGGGUCUCUGGACAGUUCCUGACGCUGAGGCACGAAGGUCAGGGGAGCAAACGGG
rnacentral:rRNA from 1 species